AUUAAACAGUCUCCAGUACUUCCAGGAACCUGAGGUUCACUGCUGUGGGAAAUGCCUCCUGUUUGGUUUCAACAUUAUAUUCUGGGUCCUGGGGGCCCUGUUCCUGGCCAUCGGCCUCUGGCUCUGGGGCUAGAAGGACAUCUCUCCAACAUUUUUGUGGUGGUUGGGGGAGUCAUGUUAGGCUGGGGUUUGCUGGCUGCAUUGAUUGAGGCCCUCUGGGAGAAUACCUUCUUUGUGGAGAUUUUGGUGACAGUUAUGCUGGCCUCCAUUUCCAGGGACUGGACUCGAGACUGGCUCGUUAUCAUCAUCAACAGUGUGAAAGCCUGCCAGGGCAAUAGUGGCCUCCAGAACCCUAAUCACUUAGAAUAAUGGUCUUGCUGCCGAGUCUGAGGGCCCAAUGACUAGAACCCCAAUAUCUACUUUAUUUACACGGAUGUGAACCUGAACUGGGAACACUGGAGUGUCCCUCACCCUGUGCCAGGGCCUCUGUGGGAGAUCCCCUCCAUUCCCAGUGUGAUAACAUGACAUCUGGCUCAGACGACAGCUAGAGUAGCAAGCUGGUCACAGUGGCUGGGAUCUUCAUAGGAUCACUCUCCUCCACACUUUUGGCAUCUUCCUGGUAAGGAAGGCCAGCUGGUGA
rnacentral:lncRNA from 1 species